UCUGUGAACCAAAUGUAGGUAAAAUUUAUAUAUAAUAUUAUAUUAUGUAUAUAUUAUAUAUACAUUUUACCUCCACUUGGUUCACAGA